ensembl:lncRNA
AUGGCAGUUUCUAAGGUUUGGGUAACUAUUUCCAGAGUAUACGGGAAGCUUAAGCGGAGGUGGACAGAAAUUCCGAACACGAGAAGCGGGUCUCGGCGGCCCCUUCCUAGACUGCCCUUCAGGAAGAGGAGAAAUGAGCCGCUGCGCACACGGGCUGCCGGGCUCCGUCCCGGGCACCUGGGCACCUGCAGGGUGCCGCGCACCGAAGAAGGGGGGACAGCAACAGGGGCCCCGAGCCCAGAGAACCGUGGGCCGGAAGGGCCAGGAAGGCCCGCGCCCUCCGCCGCUCGUGCACUGCCAGCCUCACCGGGGCGGCUUCCCCUGAAAGCCGUGUGUGGAAGACGCACACCCCACCGGAGAGCAGCUCCAUGGUCGCUCCAUCUCGCGCGCCGGCCCGGCGGCCCUCCCUCUAGCGGCCGCGCCCGGGAAACACGCGGGACGCGGGGGCGCGGGUGUGCGUGCUGCGCGCGCGCGCGCGUGCGUGCGUGUGCGUGCGUGCUGCGCGCCCGCGCGCGCGCGCGCGUGCGUGCGGUGGGGCCGGUCCGCGGGGGCGCUGGGAGACCCCAGCGGCUCCCCGACGCCGCCUCCUACCCGCCGGGAGCGCCCGGCGGGACACCUGCGGGGCCGCCGCGCGAGCCUCUUCCCCCGCGUCCGGCUGCGCCCCGAGCGCCCCGAGAGUCCGAGCGGACCGCGCGGAAAGACCUCUCCACAGAGGGAUGGAAACUUUGGCAACUAGCAACAGUGGCUGUGUGUGUAUUCUUUGUAGUGAAUGAACCCGGAAAGAUCGGGAAAGAUCAUAGACACGUCGGAAGGGGGGAGGGCAGCCUAGUGGGAAAAGGCUUUAGGAAAGCGUCGAUAACCGAGCGCCACUCAUGUUUUGUAAAUAAACAGGCUUGCGGUGAAAAUUCCCAAGAAGUCAGCGGCACAGUCAUUUGUUUUGUUGACACCUGCAUCCUGCAUUCCCCUUUGGUUUCGUGUCUUCCAAACUUAGCGCUCCCCCCAAAUGCUUUGGGGGCCGGGGGAGGGCUUCAUCCCCGAACGGGGAAGGCCGACGGUCCCAUGGACCCGUCCAUGAUUUGGGUGGCUUUCCGAGCGGCCAGAGACUAGAGAAAUCACCACUUGUAGCCAGGACAGGCUAUCGGAGCCAGAGUCUCCCGGUCGCAUCCCUGCUGCACAGUCGGAACGAGGGGAGGACAGGGACCCAGCGGGGGAUGCCGACGCGCCCAGGCCUCUGGCGGGGCCCGGGCAGCCGGGGAAGGCGCUGGGACCCCGCUUCCUGCGCGGAGGCUCGGGGUGCCCGGUGGGCUCUGACAAGGGAGGCGAGACCCGGGUCCUUUGGGAACCCGAUCGUCGCAAGCCCCACGGCCGGACCCGGCGCCGCCCUCUGCGAGGCGGGCGGAGAAGGGCGCCCUUGGCGGAGCGGAACCCCGUGCCCGACCCGCACGUCCGGCCUCCGGAGACCAAACGCUGGCCACGCAGAGCCCGGCGUCCGCCUCUGCGAGCGAGGGGAGCCCAGCGCCCAAGGCCUCUGCGCGUCCGGUGCCCGCGGCGGCCUCCACGCGGUCUGCGGGGCAGAGACGAGCGAGGCCGGAGGCUGGG